rnacentral:misc_RNA from 1 species
AACACAAAUUGUACUUUCCAGUAAUCUGGGAAGUAUGCUUGGUUGAGGGUCAUUAAAAUAACAUUCGUGAAUUUUUUUGCGGAUUUGAGUUUUCCAGUAUUUAUAAAAAUGUUGGUAACUUUAAAAUUAUCAUUACUUGGUACAAGUUGAAGACGUUCUAUAUGUGUGGUUCGCUGACAACUUCUCCAUCUUUAUAUAUUAUGCGCGCACUUGGUUUUUUUGGCUUUGUGCGAGUAUAUAUUUUUUUUAUGACCUCAGCUCAAGUAAGAACACCCGCUGAACUUAA